CAAACAAUCAUUGAUUAUGUUUAUAUGUUGGAGAAGAAUCAAUUCAAUGACUUUAAAUUCCACAAAGGUAAAUACUGUACAAAGGCUGUACAAGCCCAAUUUGAGGGCCCAAACUAAACAAAUACCCCAAACCCAAUUACAAAUGAAACCCUAUCCCAAUCAGCCCAAUACCCAAAAUCAAAAAUAAGAAAAAACAAAACCCUAAACUAGCUGCUGCCGCCUCUGACCCCUGUCCCAUCACCCCAUGCCGGUCAGUCACCCACUUCACCGCCCAAGCUACACCUGCAAGCAUUAAACAGAAAAGACAGAAGCAAGAAAAGAUAAUGUUGUAUUCGGCUAUAUAUAGCCAAACAGAAUGUAAAGAAAGGGAUUUUAUUUUUUUUGGAAUGAAAAAGUUUUAAAAAAAUACAAAACAAAAAAACGAGAAUAGUAGAUAGAGCAUAGACCGAGAAUCAAACAAAAAUAUCAAAAACAAAAUAAGGAAAUUAGAUCAAGAAUCGGGUUACAAAGGUCUAUUUAUCUUAUUUCUUUUUUCGAACUUGCUUGCAUAUAUUAUUUUUACUCUAAUAAAAACAAUACAUAUAUACAUAUUAGAUAAAUAAAUAAUAAAUAAUAAUAAAUGAGAGAAAAAAAUUACCUCCAGGCAAUUUCCGGCCACUGUGUACGGUGGCCGGCACGGCGGACUACAUGACAGCGACCGGUCUGCUACUUGCCGGAUUCUGGGUUGGCAGAAAGAAAAGGGAGAGAGGGUUGAAGGGCCUUUUUCAGUUUUUUUUUUAUUUUGAAG
rnacentral:lncRNA from 1 species